GCAAGUCGUACGAGAAAGUUUCCUUCGGGGAAUGAUUAAAGUGGCGCACGGGUGAGUAACACGUAGGUGACCUACCUUUUAGUGGGGGAUAACAGAGAGAAGUCUCUGCUAAUACGCAUAAGUAAAAUGAAUUUGGAAGUAAUUUUAGAAAGAUGGCCUCUACUUGUAAGCUAUCGCUAAGGGAAGGGCCUGCGUGCCAUUAGUUUGUUGGUGGGGUAAUGGCCUACCAAGACGACGAUGGCUAGCCGGUCUGAGAGGAUGAUC
rnacentral:rRNA from 1 species